GACGAACGCUGGCGGCGUGCUUAACACAUGCAAGUCGAACGAAGUGGCGAACGGGUGAGUAACGCGUAAUCAACCUGCCCUUCAGAGGGGGACAACAGUUUGAAACGACUGCUAAUAACGCAUCCUGAAGGAGGGGAUUGCGUCUGAUUGGGUAGUUGGAGGGGUACAGGCCCACCAAGGCGAUGAUCAGUAGCCGGUCUGAGAGGAUGAGCGUCCACAUUGGGACUGAGACACGGCCCAGACUCCUACGGGAGGCAGCAGUGGGGAAUCUUCCGCAAUGGACGAAAGUCUGACGGAGCAACGCCGCGUGAGUGAUGACGGCCUUCGGGUUGUAAAGCUCUGUUAAUCGGGACGCGGUACCGGAAUAGAAAGCCACGGCUAACUACGUGCCAGCAGCCGCGGUAAUUC
rnacentral:rRNA from 1 species